AGAGCACAAGGGGAAUGCCUUGGCACCGAGAGCCGAAGAAGGACGUGACUAACUGCGAUAAGCUGCGGGGAGCCGUAAGUAGGCUUUGAUCCGCAGAUUUCCGAAUGGAGCAAUCCGGCAAGAGGAAAGUCUUGUCAUCAUAUACUGAAUACAUAGGUAUAUGAGGGGAACCGCCUGAACUGAAACAUCUAAGUAGGGCGAGGAAGAGAAAUCAACUGAGAUUCCGUAAGUAGUGGCGAGCGAACGCGGAAGAGGCCAAACCGAGAGUAGUAAUACUUUCGGGGUUCGGACAGAAUACGGCAUUGUAAAGGUUUAGUGGAAUGGAAUGGGAAGUCCAACCGAAGAAGGUGAGAGUCCUGUACACGAAAAGCCUGAGCAGCCAUCUGUAUCCAGAGUACCGCCGGACACGUGAAACCCGGUGGGAAUAUGGGGGGACCAUCCUCCAAGCCUAAAUACUACUCGGUGACCGAUAGUGAAGAAGUACUGUGAAGGAAAGGUGAAAAGUACCCCUGACGGGGAGUGAAAAAGAACCUGAAACCUUGUGUUUACAAGCACCGAAAGCUCAUCAAAGAGCGAUCGGGUACCUUUUGUAGAAUGGUCCGGCGAGUGAAUGUAACCGGCGAGGUUAAGCACUUAAGGUGUGAAGCCGCAGCGAGAGCAAGUCUGAAUAGGGCGUAUGAAGUCGGUUGUAUUCGACCCGAAACCGGGUGACCUACCCAUGGUCAGGUUGAAGUAAAGGUAAAACUUUAUGGAGGACCGAACCGACUCCCGUUGAAAUGGUAGCGGAUGAACUGUGGGUAGCGGAGAAAUUCCAAUCGAACCCGGAGAUAGCUGGUUCUCUCCGAAAUAGCUUUAGGGCUAGCCUUGAAAUAGAUUACCGGAGGUAAAGCACUGAAUUGGCUAGGUGGAAUUGCACAGACAACCAGGAUGUUGGCUUAGAAGCAGCCACUCAUUAAAAGAGUGCGUAAUAGCUCACUGGUCGAGUGACUCUGCGCCGAAAAUUUAACGGGGCUAAACUAUACACCGAAGCUUGGGAUACAUCUAAUGUAUGGUAGGAGAGCGUUCUGUAUGGGGAGAAGUCGUAGCGAAAGCGGCGGUGGACUAUACAGAAGUGAGAAUGCCGGAAUAAGUAGCGAGAAUUAAGUGAGAAUCUUAAUGGCCGAAAGUCUAAGGUUUUUGGAGGAAGGUUCGUCCGCUCCAAGUAAGUCGGGAGCUAAGGUCAGGCCGAAAGGCGUAGCCGAUGCACAUACGGUUGAUAUUCCGUAACCAUCUGUAAUUUAAGCAAAGGGACACUUCAAAAGGGUGUGACCCGGGCGUUGGUUGACCCGGGCGUAAGGGACCGAAAUUAGAGUAGGGAAGCACACUUGGCUGAAGGCGAGAAAAGCUUUGCGUAUAGAAACAGAUGCCCGUACCGCAAACCGACACAGGUGGACAGGAAGAGAAUUCUAAGGCCAGCGGGAGAAGGGUAGUUAAGGAACUCGGCAAAUUGACUCCGUAACUUCGGAAUAAGGAGUGCUCGAAAGAGCCGCAGAGAAUAGGCCCAGGCGACUGUUUAGCAAAAACACAGGUCUCUGCCAAAUCGAAAGAUGAAGUAUAGGGGCUGACACCUGCCCGGUGCCGGAAGGUUAAGAGGAGGAGUGAGAGCUCCGAAUUGAAGCCCCGGUAAACGGCGGCCGUAACUAUAACGGUCCUAAGGUAGCGAAAUUCCUUGUCGGGUAAGUUCCGACCCGCACGAAUGGUGUAACGAUCUGGGCACUGUCUCAACUACCCACCCGGCGAAAUUGUAGUACCGGUGAAGAUGCCGGUUACCUGCGGCAAGACGGAAAGACCCCAUGGAGCUUUACUGUAGCCUGAUAUUGGGUUUCGGAAAUCUAUGUACAGGAUAGGCGGGAGACUAGGAAACAUGAGCGUCAGCUUGUGUGGAGUCGAUGUUGGGAUACCGCCCUUAGGUUUCUGGAAUUCUAACCUGCGGCCGUGAAUCCGGUCGGGGGACAUUGUCAGGUGGGCAGUUUGACUGGGGCGGUCGCCUCCGAAAAGGUAACGGAGGCGCUCAAAGGUUAGCUCAGCACGGACGGAAACCGUGCCUCUGAGUGUAAACGCAAAAGCUAGCCUAACUGCGAGGGUGACGGCCCGAGCAGUAACGAAAGUUGGAGUUAGUGAUCCGGCGGUAUGUGAAUGGAAAUGCCGUCGCUCAACGGAUAAAAGCUACCCUGGGGAUAACAGGCUGAU
rnacentral:rRNA from 1 species